AUUGAACGCUGGCGGCAUGCCUUACACAUGCAAGUCGAACGGCAGCGCGGGGCAACCUGGCGGCGAGUGGCGAACGGGUGAGUAAUAUAUCGGAACAUACCCUAGAGUGGGGGAUAACGUAGCGAAAGUUACGCUAAUACCGCAUACGCACUAAGGUGGAAAGUGGGGGAUCUUCGGACCUCAUGCUCAUGGAGUGGCCGAUAUCUGAUUAGCUAGUUGGUGAGGUAAAGGCUCACCAAGGCGACGAUCAGUAGCUGGUUUGAGAGAACGACCAGCCACACUGGAACUGAGACACGGUCCAGACUCCUACGGGAGGCAGCAGUGGGGAAUAUUGGACAAUGGGCGAAAGCCUGAUCCAGCAAUGCCGCGUGAGUGAUGAAGGCCUUAGGGUUGUAAAGCACUUUUGUUGGGGAAGAAAGCCGCUGGUUAAUACCCGGUGGUCAUGACGGUACCCAAAGAAUAAGCACCGGCUAACUUCGUGCCAGCAGCCGCGGUAAU
rnacentral:rRNA from 1 species